rnacentral:tRNA from 1 species
GGAGGUGUAGCUCACAUGGUUUAGAGCAUGCUUGACAUGCACAAGGUCCUGGGUUCAAUCCCCAGUAUCUCGU